CAAGAGCGUAUGUAAAAGUUGUUGCAGUUAAAAAGCUCGUAGUUGAACCUUGGGUUUGGUUGGCCGGUCCGCUUUUUUGCGAGUACUGGAUUCAACCGAGCCUUUCCUUCUGGCUAACCAGUCGUUUCGGCGGCUGGCGAACCAGGAUUUUUACUUUGAGAAAAUUAGAGUGUUCAAAGCAGGCAUUAGCUUGAAUAUAUUAGCAUGGAAUAAUAGAAUAGGACGUUAUGGUUCUAUUUUGUUGGUUUCUAGGACCAUCGUAAUGAUUAAUAGGGACGGUCGGGGGCACCAGUAUUCAGUUGUCAGAGGUGAAAUUCUUGGAUUUACUGAAGACUAACUACUGCGAAAGCAUUUGCCAAGGACGUUUUCAUUAA
rnacentral:rRNA from 1 species